AAGGAUCAUCACUUUUUUUGUGAGGGCUUUAGCCCGAGCAUAAUCACCCUGUGUAAGGUACUGAUAGUAUUGGGGGGAAUUGUGCUAGUUAGCACGUCCCCCCAUAAAAACACCAUGAAAAAUCAUCUAAACACAAACCCAUUGAAAUACCACACAACUUUUAACAGUGGAUCUCUGGGCUCUC
rnacentral:misc_RNA from 1 species